rnacentral:rRNA from 1 species
UACGGAGGGUGCAAGCGUUGUCCGGAUUUAUUGGGUUUAAAGGGUGCGUAGGCGGCUUUUUAAGUCAGUGGUGAAAUACAGCAGCUCAACUGUUGAGGUGCCAUUGAUACUGAGAGGCUUGAGUACAGAUGAGGUAGGCGGAAUUUAUGGUGUAGCGGUGAAAUGCAUAGAUACCAUAAAGAACACCGAUUGCGAAGGCAGCUUACUAAGCUGUAACUGACGCUGAGGCACGAAAAGCGUGGGGAGCGAAACAGG